rnacentral:rRNA from 1 species
AGUGGAUGGGGAGCAACCUAGUUGUGCGUGUGUAAAGGUAGUGCCAAGAAAAGCGAUGAUCAUGUUGAAAAUCAAUUCCCGGUACCCGAAACCGACACAGGUGGGCAAGUAGAGAAUACUAAGGGGCGCGAGGUAACUCUCUCCAAGGAACUCGGCAAAAUGACCCCGUAACUUAGGGAGAAGGGGUGCCACCGAGAGGUGGUCGCAGUGAAGAGGCCCAGGCGACUGUUUAGCAAAAACAUAGGUCUCUGCAAACUCGAAAGAGGAGGUAUAGGGGCUGACGCCUGCCCAGUGCCGGAAGGUUAAAGAAGUUGGUCAGUCUUAGGAUGAAGCUAGCGACUGAAGCCCCGGUGAACGGCGGCCGUAACUAUAACGGUCCUAAGGUAGCGAAAUUCCUUGUCGGGUAAGUUCCGACCCGCACGAAAGGCGUAACGAUCUGGGCGCUGUCUCGGAGAGAGGCUCGGCGAAAUAGGAUUGUCUGUGAAGAUACGGACUACCUGCAUUUGGACAGAAAGACCCUAUGAAGCUUUACUAUAGCUUGAAUUGUGUUCGGGCUUCCUGUGCGCAGGAUAGGUGGGAGGCGUAGAAGGUAUUCUUGUGGGGAUACUGGAGCCAACGGUGAGAUACCACUCUCAGGAGGCUAGAAUUCUAACUUAAUUAAGGACAGUUUCAGGUGGGUAGUUUGACUGGGGCGGUCGCCUCCAAAAAGGUAACGGAGGCGUACAAAGGUUCCCUCAGACUGGUUGGAAAUCAGUCGAAGAGUGCAAAGGCAGAAGGGAGCUUGACUGCGAGAAGUACAGUUCGAGCAGGGUGGAAACACGGUCUUAGUGAUCCGACGGUGCUGUGUGGAAGGGCCGUCGUUCAACGGAUAAAAGUUACUCUAAGGAUAACAGGCUGAUCUCCCCCAAGAGUUCACAUCGACGGGGAGGUUUGGCACCUCGAUGUCGGCUCAUCGCAACCUGGGGCGGAAGUACGUCCCAAGGGUUGGGCUGUUCGCCCAUUAAAGCGGUACGUGAGCUGGGUUCAGAACGUCGUGAGACAGUUCGGUCCAUAUCCGAUGUAGGCGUGAGAAUAUUGAGAGGAGCCUUCCUUAGUACGAGAGGACCGGGAAGGACGCACCGCUGGUGUACCUGUUAUGAUGCCAAUUGUAAACGCAGGGUAGCCAAGUGCGGAGAGGAUAACCGCUGAAAGCAUCUAAGUGGGAAGCCCACCUCAAGAUGAGUAUUCUGGUGUAAGGUCACGGGAAGACGACCCGUAAAUAGGCACGAGGUGGAAGUGCAGAGAUGUAUGAAGCCGAAGUGUACUAAUAGACCGUCGGCUU